CAGAGCCCGCCAGCCGCUAAGCCGGGGCCACACCUGGGGGUGAUUUCAUGCCUCACCUCCAGUAGGCACCUUGGUCUCUUUGCCUAAUCUCUGGCUCUUUUGCACUAACUCUUGCUCUCACCCAGCUAAUCCCUGCCUCACCCUGACUGCCCCAGGGGCUGACCACUACCAACCAACCUGGCCUGUCUGGGGGCUUCAGGCUCCUGGCCUGGGUCUGACUAGCUCUUAAUUAACCUUUCCUUCACCGUGACUAACUCCUGCCUUCCCGGUCUGUUCCUUUCAGCAGAAACUAAUGGCUUGUGGAUUUCUUUCUGACUAACAACAGGUCUAACGUUCCUUGUUACUGUUAACAGCUUGGAUGUCGGCAUGGCUGGG
rnacentral:lncRNA from 1 species